UACGAAGGGGGCUAGCGUUGUUCGGAUUUACUGGGCGUAAAGCGCACGUAGGCGGAUCUUUAAGUCAGGGGUGAAAUCCCGAGGCUCAAUCCUCGGAACUGCCUUUGAUACUGGGGAUCUUGAGUCCGGGAGAGGUGAGUGGAACUGCGAGUGUAGAGGUGAAAUUCGUAGAUAUUCGCAAGAACACCAGUGGCGAAGGCGGCUCACUGGCCCGAUACUGACGCUGAGGCACGAAAGCGUGGGGAGCAAACAGGG
rnacentral:rRNA from 1 species